rnacentral:rRNA from 1 species
GUGGGGAAUUUUGGACAAUGGGCGCAAGCCUGAUCCAGCCAUGCCGCGUGCGGGAAGAAGGCCUUCGGGUUGUAAACCGCUUUUGUCAGGGAAGAAACGCUCUGAGUUAAUACCUCGGGGUAAUGACGGUACCUGAAGAAUAAGCACCGGCUAACUACGUGCCAGCAGCCGCGGUAAUACGUAGGGUGCAAGCGUUAAUCGGAAUUACUGGGCGUAAAGCGUGCGCAGGCGGUUAUGCAAGACAGAUGUGAAAUCCCCGGGCUCAACCUGGGAACUGCAUUUGUGACUGCAUAGCUAGAGUACGGUAGAGGGGGAUGGAAUUCCGCGUGUAGCAGUGAAAUGCGUAGAUAUGCGGAGGAACACCGAUGGCGAAGGCAAUCCCCUGGACCUGUACUGACGCUCAUGCACGAAAGCGUGGGGAGCAAACAGGAUUAGAAACCCUAGUAGUCC